rnacentral:rRNA from 1 species
GGGUCAGUAGGUUGGUCGUGCCACCGGUACGUACUGGUCUCACUGAUUCCUCCUUCCUGAAGAACAGUAAUGCCAUUAAUUUGGUGUAGCGGGGAAACAGGACUGUUACUUUGAAAAAAUUAGAGUGUUUAAAGCAAGCUAACGCUUGAAUACAUUAGCAUGGAAUAAUGAAAUAGGACGAUCGAUCCUAUUUUGUUGGUUUCUAGGAUUGACGUA